UCGGAGAGGAGAUGGGGUGCGGGAGGGGGUGGGGGAGCAGCCCGGUUCCCUGCGGCCGCGCCCCUCCCCCACCGAGGAACCGCGGAAGGCUCGGGAGCGCAGCCGACCCGCAAGACAAUAGGGUGCAGUUACCGGGCCGCGGAGGGGAAACUGAGGAGCGCUGCCCGGUUUCACAUGCAAUGUGGGGCUUGAACUCACGACACUGGGAUCAAGAGUGCACGCUCUGGAGACUGAGCCAGCCAGGAUUCAGUUCUUUGUGGGCUACCAGACUAAAGGACUCAUCUUGUUGCUGGCUGCCAGCUGGAGGCUUCCCUUAGUUCUCUGGGGUGGGUUACUUCAUCAAAACCAUCAAAGAAGUCAACAGAAGGAGUCUGCUAGCAAGACAGAAGUUACAGUCUAUGUAACGUAAUUGUGGAAAUGACACCCCAUCACUUUUGCCAUAUUGUGUUAGAAGCAAGUCACAGGUUCACCCAUAUACAAAGGGGAGGAGAUUCCAUACAGGUGUGAAACAAAGACUUUUGAGUGCUCAGAAUCUGUCCACCACAUGUACUAAAACUUUGAGAUCCACUGUGUGUUUUCUAUUUAUAAUACACCUCAAGUCAGACCAUGUUUCAGGUUCUCAGUGGCAGUUGACUAGUGGCUACCAUAUUGGACAGCACUUUUCUGUAACAACUAAACCCAGAGAUACUAGAAUUACAGGAUGUCCAAAUACCAGUGUAAGCCAUCAUGUGUUUGUAUAGAGAAUUCAAAGUCAAAAGAAUUGGAAGCAUAAAAACACAGAUUAAAAAUAUUUUGUUGUUUUUAAUAGGUAAAGAGCUUAGUACUAUCAUUUAAAUCCAGGGAUCUCUGGGUGGUGCAGCGGUUUGGCGCCUGCCUUUGGCCCAGGGUGCGAUCCUGGAGACCCGGGAUCGAAUCCCACGUCGGGCUCCUGGUGCAUGGAGCCUGCUUCUCCCUCUGACUGUGUCUCUGCCUCUCUCUCUCUCUCUGUGUGUGACUAUCAUAAAUAAAUUAAAAAAUAAAUAAAUCUGGAUCCUCAAAGCAAGUACAGGCUAGACAAUAAGUUUUGCAUUUGUUUUUACAACUUCACACUUGCCCUAGCUGAUUGGGAAAGUCCUAUAGGCUGAGAGAGAAUGAAGGGCAAUUUGCAGGAGGGC